rnacentral:rRNA from 1 species
ACUCCUACGGGAGGCAGCAGUAGGGAAUCUUCCACAAUGGACGAAAGUCUGAUGGAGUAACGCCGCGUGAGUGAAGAAGGGUUUCGGCUCGUAAAACUCUGUUGUUAAAGAAGAACAUAUCUGAGAGUAACUGUUCAGGUAUUGACGGUAUUUAACCAGAAAGCCACGGCUAACUACGUGCCAGCAGCCGCGGUAAUACGUAGGUGGCAAGCGUUGUCCGGAUUUAUUGGGCGUAAAAGCGAGCGCAGGUCGGUUUUUAAGUCUGAUGUGAAAGCCUUCGGCUCAAACCGAAGAAGUGCAUCGGAAACUGGGAAACUUGAGUGCAGAAGAGGACAGUGGAACUCCAUGUGUAGCGGUGAAAUGCGUAGAUAUAUGGAAGAACACCAGUGGCGAAGGCGGCU